UAAUUUUGUGAAACUUUAGGGGCAAAAAUGUAAUUUUUCCAAAGUAUGAUUUUUGGACUGGAAUGAAUAGUGUGAAUGUUAUAUAAGUUAAAUGUAUUGUUAUAAAUCAAGAAAGACGAGAAAUUGAAAUUGAUCGAUAAAAAGAAAAGUGAGAAAAAGUGAAAAAUUCUCGAAUGAACCUUUGGAAUAAAAAGGGAUACGAAUGAAGUGA
rnacentral:lncRNA from 1 species